CUACGCUUUCAUUAAUAAAAAUGGCCGUCACGCCACGCCACGCCCCUUUCACGUUGUGCCUCAUUCAUUAUUUCAGCUUAAUAUUCCCCAUGUGCCCCCUUUAUUAUAAGGGAUUUAUGUAUUUAUCCCUUGUGAUACGUAAGUAUGUGAAAAAAGGAAGGAAAAUUCUCUCUCUCGAGAGAGAGAGAGAGCAGAAGGAGCAUCAUUACCACCCCCCAAGAAGAAGACAAAGAAAGAGUCUUUUUGGGGUACCUACAACACGGUUCCUGAAGCUUAAAUCGACACAACCCCUAGGAGGCUUCUUUUUGUAGACCUCGAGGAGCUCUACAAAAUCGAGUCUACAAUUUUUUUUAUGGAAGCUCAAUAAGGACUAAGGGGGCCCUAUUAGGGCUGAACCAGUAGAUUUGGAGAAGGAGAAGCAUUAAAACCAGGGCCAACGGAAGUGAAAUUGAGAUAUCCCAUAUUGGGAUCUGCUCGGGUGAUGCAAAGAGAGCGGGGAGACUUAUGUUGCUGGAGCCCCAUUGGCUGCUUUUUAGGGGAUGGAAUGGGGGAACCGGAAGCCCCUUUUUAGGAGCUGACCGAGAAGAAGAAAAGGAACCCUGAACAGUUGCCAACCUGACCACCAGAUGGAGUUUUCUUUAUUUUAAAUUGGAAUAAAUGACGAGAGACGAAAAAAAGGAGGAGUUUCUACAGGAGAGGGUCGACAAGAAGUACGAUUAAUGCGUGUGAGAGAGAGAGAGAGAGAUCGACCUGGAGCGGAAACAAAAGAAGAUCGGCCAUUUUGGAAAAGAAACUCCGGGAGUAAAUGGAAGGAGGAGGAGGGGGGGAGGAGCUGAUAUCCCGCUGGUUACUGGAUGCAAUUGAACAUUUGGCACCUCUUUGAGUGGAGGAGACAUGAAGGUACCACAGGAGACAAAAGAGCAGAGCAACUGCUCCAGAUCGUAAAGAAAAGUUGUGUGAGAUUAUAAAUAAAUUUGUUUAUUCAUUA